UAGCUGGUGGGGUAGUAGGCCCUACCAAGGCAACGAUCAGUAGCCGGCCUGAGAGGGUGAACGGCCACAUUGGGACUGAGACACGGCCCAAACUCCUACGGGAGGCAGCAG
rnacentral:rRNA from 1 species